rnacentral:rRNA from 1 species
UACGUAGGUGGCGAGCGUUGUCCGGAUUUACUGGGCGUAAAGGGAGCGUAGGCGGACUUUUAAGUGAGAUGUGAAAUACUCGGGCUCAACUUGAGUGCUGCAUUUCAAACUGGAAGUCUAGAGUGCAGGAGAGGAGAAUGGAAUUCCUAGUGUAGCGGUGGAAUGCGUAGAGAUUAGGAAGAACACCAGUGGCGAAGGCGAUUCUCUGGACUGUAACUGACGCUGAGGCUCGAAAGCGUGGGGAGCAAACAGG